GUGAGGAAUAUUGGUCAAUGGACGCAAGUCUGAACCAGCCAAGUCGCGUGAAGGAUGACGGUUCUAUGGAUUGUAAACUUCUUUUGUGCAGGAAUAAAGUGGGUUACGUGUAACCUUUUGUAUGUACUGUACGAAUAAGGAUCGGCUAACUCCGUGCCAGCAGCCGCGGUAAUACGGAGGAUCCGAGCGUUAUCCGGAUUUAUUGGGUUUAAAGGGUGCGUAGGUGGAUUGAUAAGUCAGCGGUGAAAGUUUGCAGCUUAACUGUAAAAUUGCCGUUGAAACUGUCGGUCUUGAGUGCAAAUGAGGUAGGCGGAAUGUGUUGUGUAGCGGUGAAAUGCUUAGAUAUAACACAGAACUCCGAUUGCGAAGGCAGCUUACUGGGAUGCAACUGACACUGAUGCACGAAAGCGUGGGUAUCAAACAGGAUUAGAAACCCGGGUAGUCC
rnacentral:rRNA from 1 species